rnacentral:rRNA from 1 species
GAUACGGCCCAGACUCCUACGGGAGGCAGCAGUGGGGAAUAUUGCACAAUGGGCGCAAGCCUGAUGCAGCGACGCCGCGUGAGGGAUGACGGCCUUCGGGUUGUAAACCUCUUUCAGCAGGGAAGAAGCGAAAGUGACGGUACCUGCAGAAGAAAGCGCCGGCUAACUACGUGCCAGCAGCCGCGGUAAUACGUAGGGCGCAAGCGUUGUCCGGAAUUAUUGGGCGUAAAGAGCUCGUAGGCGGUUUGUCGCGUCUGCUGUGAAAACCUAAGGCUCAACCUUGGGCUUGCAGUGGGUACGGGCAGACUAGAGUGCGGUAGGGGUGACUGGAAUUCCUGGUGUAGCGGUGGAAUUGCGCAGAUAUCAGGAGGAACACCGAUGGCGAAGGCAGGUCACUUGGCCGCAACUGACGCUGAGGAGCGAAAGCAUGGGGACGAACCGGAUUAGAUACCCUGGUAGUCCAUGCCGUAAACGUUGGGCACUAGGUGUGGGGCUCAUUCCACGAGUUCCGUGCCGCAGCAAACGCAUUAAGUGCCCCGCCUGGGGAGUACGGCCGCAAGGCUAAAACUCAAAGAAAUUGACGGGGGCCCGCACAAGCGGCGGAGCAUGCGGAUUAAUUCGAUGCAACGCGAAGAACCUUACCAAGGCUUACAUACACCGGAAAAGUGCAGAGAUGUGCCCCCGUAAGGUCGGUGUACAGGUGGUGCAUGGUUGUCGUCAGCUCGUGUCGUGAGAUGUUGGGUUAAGUCCCGCAACAGCGC